GUCCCUCUAAUUUAAGACUAUGUCCUCUUGUUGUGGUAGUUUUUCUUCUUUUAAAUAUAGUCUCCUCCUUUACUGUGUUGAUUCCCUUUAUAUAUUUAAAUGUUUCUAUCAUAUCCCCCCUGUCUCGUCUUUCCUCCAAGCUAUACAUGUUAAGAUCCUUUAACCUUUUCUGGUAAGUUUUAUCCCGCAAUCCAUGAACCAGUUUAGUAGCCCUUCUCUGAACCCUCUCUAAGGUAUCAAUAUCCUUCUGAAGAUACGGUCUCCAGUACUGUGUACAAUACUCCAAGUGAGGUCUCACCAGUGUUCUGUACAAUGGCAUGAGCACUUCCCUCUUUCUACUGCUAAUACCUCUCCCUAUACAACCAAGCAUUCUGCUAGCAUUUCCUGCUGCUCUAUUACAUUGUCUGCCUACCUUUAAGUCAUCAGAAAUAAUCACCCCUAAAUCCCUUUCCUCAU